rnacentral:rRNA from 1 species
GGGCCCGCACAAGCGGUGGAGCAUGUGGUUUAAUUCGAUGAUACGCGAGGAACCUUACCAGGGCUUAAAUGUAAGUUGCAUAAGUUAGAGAUAGCUUUUUCUUCGGACUACUUACAAGGUGCUGCAUGGUUGUCGUCAGCUCGUGCCGUGAGGUGUCAGGUUAAGUCCUAUAACGAGCGCAACCCCUGUUGUUAGUUGCCAUCGAGUAAUGUCGGGAACUCUAACAAGACUGCCGGUGCAAACCGUGAGGAAGGUGGGGAUGACGUCAAAUCAUCACGGCCCUUACGUCCUGGGCUACACACGUGCUACAAUGGCCGGUACAGAGAGCAGCCACUACGCGAGUAGGAGCGAAUCUAUAAAACCUAGUCGUAGUCCGGAUCGGAGUCUGCAACUCGACUCCGUG